AAUAAACGCUGGCGGCGUGCCUAACACAUGCAAGUCGAGCGAGAAAGUCUCUUCGGAGGCGAGUAAAGCGGCGGACGGGUGAGUAACACGUAAGAAUUUACCCUUUAGUGAAGAAUACCUCUGAGAAAUCAGGGUUAAUACUGCAUAAGUCCCUUCGGGGAGAAAGGUGGCCUCUUUGCUGCCGCUAAAGGAUAAGCUUGCGGGCUAUUAGCUAGUUGGUGAGGUAAAGGCUCACCAAGGCGAUGAUGGCUAGCCGGCCUGAGAGGGUGUACGGCCACAUUGGAACUUAGACACGGUCCAGACUCCUACGGGAGGCAGCAGUGAGGAAUAUUGCGCAAUGGGCGAAAGCCUGACGCAGCGACGCCGCGUGGAGGAUGAAGGUCUUUGGAUCGUAAACUCCUGUUAAGUGGGAAGAAAGACUCUUCUUUAAUAGAGAAGAGGGAUGACGGUACCAUUAGAGAAAGCACCGGCUAACUUCGUG
rnacentral:rRNA from 1 species